rnacentral:piRNA from 1 species
UAAUUGAUUUUAUGGUUGAAU